rfam:Ovis aries breed Texel chromosome 11, whole genome shotgun sequence.
UCCCUGGAGGUCUAGUGGUUAAGACUCCAUGCUUCCAAUGCAGGGGGCACUGGUUUGAUCCCUGAUCAGGGAA